CCGGCGACCGGCGCACGGGUGAGUAACACGUAUGCAACCUGCCCGUCUCACGGGGGAUAAUCGGUCGGAAACGGCGUCUAAUACCCCGUAUGAAGCUGGAUGGCAUCGUCUGGUUUUGAAAGAAUAUCGGAGACGGAUGGGCAUGCGGCGCAUUAGCUAAUUGGCGGGGUAACGGCCCACCAAGGCGACGAUGCGUAGGGGUUCUGAGAGGAAGGUCCCCCACACUGGUACUGAGACACGGACCAGACUCCUACGGAAGGCAGCAG
rnacentral:rRNA from 1 species